GUCGAGCGGAACGAUGAUAGCUUGCUAUCAGGCGUCGAGCGGCGGACGGGUGAGUAAUACUUAGGAAUCUACCUAGUAGUGGGGGAUAGCUCGGGGAAACUCGAAUUAAUACCGCAUACGUCCUACGGGAGAAAGCAGGGGAUCAUUAGACCUUGCGCUAUUAGAUGAGCCUAAGUCGGAUUAGCUAGAUGGUGGGGUAAAGGCCUACCAUGGCGACGAUCUGUAGCUGGUCUGAGAGGAUGAUCAGCCACACCGGGACUGAGACACGGCCCGGACUCCUACGGGAGGCAGCAGUGGGGAAUAUUGGACAAUGGGGGGAACCCUGAUCCAGCCAUGCCGCGUGUGUGAAGAAGGCCUUUUGGUUGUAAAGCACUUUAAGCAGUGAAGAAGACUCUUCGGUUAAUACCCGGGGACGAUGACAUUAGCUGCAGAAUAAGCACCGGCUAACUCUGUGCCAGCAGCCGCGGUAAUACAGAGGGUGCAAGCGUUAAUCGGAAUUACUGGGCGUAAAGCGAGCGUAGGUGGCUUGAUAAGUCAGAUGUGAAAUCCCCGGGCUUAACGUGGGAACUGCAUCUGAAACUGUUAGGCUAGAGUAGGUGAGAGGGAA
rnacentral:rRNA from 1 species